UGGUCAUUUAGAGGAAGUAAAAGUCGUAACAAGGUUUCCGUAGGUGAACCUGCGGAAGGAUCAUUAAUGAGUUUUGAUGGAGGUUUUGAUGCUGGCAGCCGUCUUUCAGGCCGCAUGUGCUCGCCCCCUGACAAAUCAUCUUCCAAACACCUGUGCACAAUUUUGAGGGGGGGUUCAUGGGUUGAUUACCGUGAUUUUGGUGAUUUACUUUCAUUUCCCUCCCUUGAAUUUUUAUACAUUAUAUAUACACUUGUUGCAAUGCUGAACGUGUUUUGCGCCGUAAGGCCUUAAUAAAUUACAACUUUUAACAACGGAUCUCUUGGCUCUCGCAUCGAUGAAGAACGCAGCGAAAUGCGAUAAGUAAUGUGAAUUGCAGAAUUCAGUGAAUCAUCGAAUCUUUGAACGCACCUUGCGCUCCCUGGUAUUCCGGGGAGCACGCCUGUUCGAGUGUCGCGAAAUUUCUCAAGCUUUGGAUGACUUUCUUGUCUGUCCUUUGUCUUGGUUAUUGGGCUCUGCCGUGUUCCUCUAUUGGUACGGCUGGCCUUAAAAGUAUUAGCUGGCCUUCAUGUGAAGCUGGUUCUACUCAGCGUGAUAAUAAUCUGAUCGCCGAGGACAUCUUCUUUUGGGGAUGGCCAGUUUUCGUUUGGGCUGCUUCUAACCUGGUGGUACAGUUCCGUGCCCCACUUUUCGGCUUUGACCUCGAAUCAGGUGGGACUACCCGCUGAACUUAAGCAUAUCAAUAAGCGGAGGAAAAGAAACUAACAAGGAUUCCCCUAGUAACGGCGAGUGAAGCGGGAAGAGCUCAAAUUUAAAAUCUGGCAAUCUUUGGUUGUCC
rnacentral:rRNA from 1 species